rnacentral:rRNA from 1 species
CGAAGGGGGCUAGCGUUGUUCGGAAUUACUGGGCGUAAAGCGAGUGUAGGUGGUUGUCAUAGUCAGGUGUGAAAGCCUUGAGCUCAACUCAAGAAAUGCACUUGAUACUGGGCGACUAGAGGACCGGAGAGGAUAGUGGAAUUCCCAGUGUAGUGGUGAAAUACGUAGAGAUUGGGAAGAACACCAGUGGCGAAGGCGGCUAUCUGGACGGUUUCUGACACUAAGACUCGAAAGCGUGGGGAGCAAACAGGAUUAGAUACCCUGGUAGUCCACGCCGUAAACGAUGGGUGCUAGACGUUGGCGAGCUUGCUCGUCAGUGUCGCAGCUAACGCGUUAAGCACCCCGCCUGGGGAGUACGGCCGCAAGGUUG